UACGGAAGGCAGCAGUGGGGAAUAUUGCACAAUGGGCGAAAGCCUGAUGCAGCUAUGCCGCGUGUAUGAAGAAGGCCUUAGGGUUGUAAAGUACUUUCAUCGGGGAGGAAAAACAAAACUAAUAAUUUUAUUUCUUGACGUUACCCGAAAAAGAAGCACCGGCUAACUCCGUGCCAGCAGCCGCGGUAAUACGGAGGGUGCUAGCGUUAAUCAGAAUUACUGGGCGUAAAGAGCACGUAGGUGGUUUUUUUAAGUCAGAUGUGAAAUCCCUGGGCUUAACCUAGGAACUGCAUUUUGAAACUGAAAUACUAGAGUAUCGUAGAGGGAGGUAGAAUUCUAGGUGUAGCGGUGAAAUGCGUAGAUAUCUGGAGGAAUACCUGUGGCGAAAGCGGCCUCCUAAACGAAUACUGACACUGAGGUGCGAAAGCGUGGGGAGCAAAACAGGGAUUAGAUACC
rnacentral:rRNA from 1 species